AUCCCUGUAGCGCAAUGGAUAGCGCGCGCGCGCGUGUUGAACUUCUAAUCCAAAGGUCGUGGGUUUGAAUCCCAAUAAGGAUG
rnacentral:tRNA from 1 species